GAUGAACGCUGGCGGCGUGCCUAAUACAUGCAAGUCGAGCGAACAGAUGAGGAGCUUGCUCCUCUGACGUUAGCGGCGGACGGGUGAGUAACACGUGGAUAACCUACCUAUAAGACUGGGAUAACUUCGGGAAACCGGAGCUAAUACCGGAUAAUAUAUUGAACCGCAUGGUUCAAUAGUGAAAGACGGUUUUGCUGUCACUUAUAGAUGGAUCCGCGCUGCAUUAGCUAGUUGGUAAGGUAACGGCUUACCAAGGCAACGAUGCGUAGCCGACCUGAGAGGGUGAUCGGCCACACUGGAACUGAGACACGGUCCAGACUCCUACGGGAGGCAGCAGUAGGGAAUCUUCCGCAAUGGGCGAAAGCUUGACGGAGCAACGCCGCGUGAGUGAUGAAGGUCUUCGGAUCGUAAAACUCUGUUAUUAGGGAAGAACAAAUGUGUAAGUAACUAUGCACGUCUUGACGGUACCUAAUCAGAAAGCCACGGCUAACUACGUG
rnacentral:rRNA from 1 species